UUCUAUUUAUGAGUAGCACCCAUCUUUCAGGGGAGGUUGGUUUGGGCUGGAGGAUGGUGCUUGGUUCCUGUGGAAGGCGAGGACUCUGAAUAGCUCUGAAUACAGGCCAUGCAGGUGCCCCUUUUUCAAGGGCCCACUAGUGACUGCAGUGCUCACCUGGUAUAAGGGCCAUGGUUGUUCCGUGCACUCUGCACUUGGGUGGGCCUAACCAGGCACUGUCCUCCAGAGAGGUGCAGGUUACUAUGGCAAGAGGGGAAGUGAAUGCUGAGAGGAAAUGCUCAGGAGGAACAUGGACGUCAUCGUGUGGGCAUGAGGUGCUACUUCCUCUUUUCUCCCCAGGGACCCCACCCUUACUCACAGCUGGUUGUCUACAUCUGAUGUUCCCUUCACAUUCCCCCUAGCUAAGAGCCUAUACAGCGACCCCUCCCUAAGACAAGCCUGCAGAGAAGAGGACUCACUCAGUGACACUGUGUGUUCUUGAGAGGCCACAUCCCAGAGUCAUGUAUGCAAAUACUUAGCCCAGACGACAUGUUCUUUCCAGCUUUGGAGGUCAUCUGUAUGCCCCAAGUAGUUCAUAUCCUCAAUAAAGCAGCCCGUGCAGGGUGCUGGGGGAGUGUCUGUCCCAAGCUUCUCUGUGCUCUGUGCUCGGCUGUUCUGGCAGGCUCUGGGUUCAGUUCCUUGGGUAUUCCCUGUGCCAACACUUAGCGGAUUAUCUGUCCUGGUUGGAACCCUUCAAGGACUACAUGGGGCCUGCGAGAGGGACUGGUGCCUUGGCUGAGUGGCCAGGAUGGCUGCUCACCUGAGCGUCUGUGGACUUGCCUGGGUAGAGACGAACUCAGUGUUUGCCAAACCAAGAUCUGGAUUCAGACAUCGUGCAUUUCCACAGAGAAUGUUCACCUGAGGACCGCACUCUAUAGUGAGCAGAAGUUGCUUGACCACACACUCUUUGUGAGUUUUCAGUUGCCUCAGAGGUGGAGCACAUGCUUAGCUCGUGUGGGCCUGGGCUCUAUGUUCAGCACUGUAAAAUAAAACAAUAGUAUCAGCAGCGAAAACUCAGAGGCUCUCUCCAUGGUUUGGCGUCCUGCAUUUUAACUUAGA